ACCUUUAUACAAUUUUUUUUAAAGGUUACAAUAAGUCUUUGGCUCCACCGAAGAACAGUUGUCCAUUCACUAACCAAACAAAUAACCAGGAUCACAGACCUGUAGAAAGUCACACACCUGAAGAAAUGUAUACCCUAUUAAUCUGUGGUCUGAUAAUAGUGGUGGUAAUGCUGUCUGUCUACAGCAUUAUUCUUACGGCAGUCUGCAUCAGAUUGAGGGACACAAAGCCUGAGUCUUCUGACACACUGACCUAUGUCCCAAUGCAGAGGAAUGUAAACCGGCGUGAUCUAGACAACACCGAAUACGUGGACAUGCGUGAAGUGCAGAAACGGGGAGGAUCCCACAGAGAUAUGAACCACAACUCUCAUCUUGCUAUUGCCUGAGCCCUUUUCUGGCAUAAGUGAGCUCAUGCUUUAACUGCUCUAGGACUUACUGCUGGGUGAAUUUUACUUAGGCUACACUAAAGAAUAUCACAGGACAAAACUAUUGCCUUUCUACCAAACAAAACAGACUUUCCUGAAUGCCUGAAUCUGUAUAUUGCGGCUGCACUGCAUACGUUACGCAGUCUUGAAGUUCUCUGUGUCAGAUGGUUUCAUCUGGUGGCUUGUACAACCUAAUGCUGAAUUGUAGGUAUGCCAAGCUAAAUGUAUAUGAAGUAUCAAGCUUGGGGAUUUUUAAAUUAUUAUUUUGAUCCCAUGGACCGAUAAUCAAUGAUAAAAUGAGUUUUGUUUAGAUCCCCCCCCCCCCCCCCAAAAAAAAAUUAUAAUUUUUUUUUCUAACAAUAAAUAUA
rnacentral:lncRNA from 1 species